CUGAAUAACUACGCUGAUCGCAUGGUCUCGUACCGGCGACAUAUCCUUCAAGUGUCUGCCUUAUCAACUUUCGAUGGUAGUUUAUAUGACUACCAUGGUUGUAACGGGUAACGGAGAAUAAGGGUUCGACUCCGGAGAGGGAGCCUGAGAAACGGCUACCACAUCCAAGGAAGGCAGCAGGCGCGCAAAUUACCCACUCUCAGUUCGAGGAGGUAGUGACGAAAAAUAACGAGACAGUUCUCUAUGAGGUCUGUCAUCGGAAUGGGUACAAUCUAAAUCCUUUAACGAGGAUCUAUUGGAGGGCAAGUCUGGUGCCAGCAGCCGCGGUAAUUCCAGCUCCAAUAGCGUAUAUUAAAGUUGUUGCGGUUAAAAAG
rnacentral:rRNA from 1 species